rnacentral:rRNA from 1 species
UUAAGCGAACAAGCGUACACGGUGGAUGCCCUGGCAGUCAGAGGCGAUGAAGGACGUGCUAAUCUGCGAAAAGCGCCGGUAAGGUGAUAUGAACCGUUAUAACCGGCGAUGUCCGAAUGGGGAAACCCGGUGCACUUCGGUGCAUCAUCGUUAGCUGAAUACAUAGGCUAACGAGGCGAACCGGGGGAACUGAAACAUCUAAGUACCCCGAGGAAAAGAAAUCAACCGAGAUUCCCCCAGUAGCGGCGAGCGAACGGGGAACAGCCCAGAGCCUGAAUCAGCUUGUGUGUCAGUGGAACGGUCUGGAAAGGCCGGCGAUACAGGGUGACAGCCCCGUACACGAAGGCACACAGGCUGUGAGCUCGAUGAGUAGGGCGGGACACGUGAUAUCCUGUCUGAAGAUGGGGGGACCAUCCUCCAAGGCUAAAUACUCCUGACUGACCGAUAGUGAACCAGUACCGUGAGGGAAAGGCGAAAAGAACCCCGGCGAGGGGAGUGAAACAGAACCUGAAACCGUGUACGUACAAGCAGUGGGAGCCUUCGUAAGAGGGUGACUGCGUACCUUUUGUAUAAUGGGUCAGCGACUUAUAUUCUGUAGCAAGGUUAACCGUAUAGGGGAGCCGAAGGGAAACCGAGUCUUAAUUGGGCGUUAAGUUGCAGGGUAUAGACCCGAAACCCGGUGAUCUAGCCAUGGGCAGGUUGAAGGUUGGGUAACACUAACUGGAGGACCGAACCGACUAAUGUUGAAAAAUUAGCGGAUGACCNNNNNNNNNNCUGUGGCUGGGGGUGAAAGGCCAAUCAAACCGGGAGAUAGCUGGUUCUCCCCGAAAGCUAUUUAGGUAGCGCCUCGUGAACUCAUCUCCGGGGGUAGAGCACUGUUUCGGCUAGGGGGCCAUCCCGGCUUACCAACCCGAUGCAAACUGCGAAUACCGGAGAAUGUUAUCACGGGAGACACACGGCGGGUGCUAACGUCCGUCGUGAAGAGGGAAACAACCCAGACCGCCAGCUAAGGUCCCAAAGUCAUGGUUAAGUGGGAAACGAUGUGGGAAGGCCCAGACAGCCAGGAUGUUGGCUUAGAAGCAGCCAUCAUUUAAAGAAAGCGUAAUAGCUCACUGGUCGAGUCGGCCUGCGCGGAAGAUGUAACGGGGCUAAACCAUGCACCGAAGCUGCGGCAGCGACGCUUAUGCGUUGUUGGGUAGGGGAGCGUUCUGUAAGCCUGCGAAGGUGUGCUGUGAGGCAUGCUGGAGGUAUCAGAAGUGCGAAUGCUGACAUAAGUAACGAUAAAGCGGGUGAAAAGCCCGCUCGCCGGAAGACCAAGGGUUCCUGUCCAACGUUAAUCGGGGCAGGGUGAGUCGACCCCUAAGGCGAGGCCGAAAGGCGUAGUCGAUGGGAAACAGGUUAAUAUUCCUGUACUUGGUGUUACUGCGAAGGGGGGACGGAGAAGGCUAUGUCGGCCGGGCGACGGUUGUCCCGGUUUAAGCGUGUAGGCUGACUUUCCAGGCAAAUCCGGAAAGUUAAGGCUGAGGCGUGAUGACGAGGCACUACGGUGCUGAAGUGACAAAUGCCCUGCUUCCAGGAAAAGCCUCUAAGCAUCAGGUAACAUCAAAUCGUACCCCAAACCGACACAGGUGGUCAGGUAGAGAAUACCAAGGCGCUUGAGAGAACUCGGGUGAAGGAACUAGGCAAAAUGGUGCCGUAACUUCGGGAGAAGGCACGCUGACAUGUAGGUGAAGCCCCUGCGGGUGGAGCUGAAGUCAGUCGAAGAUACCAGCUGGCUGCAACUGUUUAUUAAAAACACAGCACUGUGCAAACACGAAAGUGGACGUAUACGGUGUGACGCCUGCCCGGUGCCGGAAGGUUAAUUGAUGGGGUUAUCGCAAGAGAAGCUCCUGAUCGAAGCCCCGGUAAACGGCGGCCGUAACUAUAACGGUCCUAAGGUAGCGAAAUUCCUUGUCGGGUAAGUUCCGACCUGCACGAAUGGCGUAAUGAUGGCCAGGCUGUCUCCACCCGAGACUCAGUGAAAUUGAACUCGCUGUGAAGAUGCAGUGUACCCGCGGCAAGACGGAAAGACCCCGUGAACCUUUACUACAGCUUGACACUGAACAUUGAGCCUUGAUGUGUAGGAUAGGUGGGAGGCUUUGAAGCGUGGACGCCAGUCUGCGUGGAGCCGACCUUGAAAUACCACCCUUUAAUGUUUGAUGUUCUAACCUGGCGCCGUGAUCCGGCGUGGGGACAGUGUCUGGUGGGUAGUUUGACUGGGGCGGUCUCCUCCCAAAGUGUAACGGAGGAGCACGAAGGUCAGCUAAUCCUGGUCGGACAUCAGGAGGUUAGUGCAAUGGCAUAAGCUGGCUUGACUGCGAGAGUGACGGCUCGAGCAGGUGCGAAAGCAGGUCAUAGUGAUCCGGUGGUUCUGUAUGGAAGGGCCAUCGCUCAACGGAUAAAAGGUACUCCGGGGAUAACAGGCUGAUACCGCCCAAGAGUUCAUAUCGACGGCGGUGUUUGGCACCUCGAUGUCGGCUCAUCACAUCCUGGGGCUGAAGUAGGUCCCAAGGGUAUGGCUGUUCGCCAUUUAAAGUGGUACGCGAGCUGGGUUUAGAACGUCGUGAGACAGUUCGGUCCCUAUCUGCCGUGGGCGCUGGAGAAUUGAGGGGGGCUGCUCCCAGUACGAGAGGACCGGAG